rnacentral:rRNA from 1 species
AGUGAACGCUGGCGGUAGGCCUAACACGUGCAAGUCGAACGGCAGCACAGUAAGAGCUUGCUCUUACGGGUGGCGAGUGGCGGACGGGUGAGGAAUACAUCGGAAUCUACUUUUUCGUGGGGGAUAACGUAGGGAAACUUACGCUAAUACCGCAUACGACCUACGGGUGAAAGCAGGGGAUCUUCGGACCUUGCGCGAUUGAAUGAGCCGAUGUCGGAUUAGCUAGUUGGCGGGGUAAAGGCCCACCAAGGCGACGAUCCGUAGCUGGUCUGAGAGGAUGAUCAGCCACACUGGAACUGAGACACGGUCCAGACUCCUACGGGAGGCAGAAGUGGGGAAUAUUGGACAAUGGGCGCAAGCCUGAUCCAGCCAUACCGCGUGGGUGAAGAAGGCCUUCGGGUUGUAAAGCCCUUUUGUUGGGAAAGAAAAGCAGCAGGUUAAUACCCCGCUGUUCUGACGGUACCCAAAGAAUAAGCACCGGCUAACUUCGUG